CUGCAGCUAAUUAAGCCAACCAUGCUCGUUUCCUCCUGGGGGCCUGGUAUGCAAUGGCUGCAAACGCAACUUCCUUGGCAGUGUAUGCAGCCUGUUGCUUGCAUAGGUUGCUCUAAGGGACCUUGGAGACAUUC
ensembl:snoRNA SNORA70 Small nucleolar RNA SNORA70